GCGUUGUCCGGAUUUAUUGGGCGUAAAGAGCGUGUAGGCGGUCAGGUAGGUGCGCUGUGAAAACUCCAGGCUUAACCUGGAGACGGCGGUGGAAACCCUCUGACUAGAGUCCGGGAGAGGAAAGUGGAAUUCCUGGUGUAGCGGUGAAAUGCGCAGAUAUCAAGAGGAACACCUGAGGUGAAGACGGGUUGCUGGUCUAACACUGACGCUGAGGCGCGAAAGCGAG
rnacentral:rRNA from 1 species